rnacentral:sRNA from 1 species
GCCUCAAGCAGCUGGUGGCCUACGUGCAGCUCAACAUGCCAGGCUCAGACCUGGAACGCCGUGCCCACCUUCUCCUGGCCCAGCUGGAGCACUCGGAACCCAUUGAGGCAGAGCCUGAGGCUCUGUCACCAGUGCCAGCUCUAAAACCAACUCCAGAGCUCGAGCUAGCUCUAACACCAGCUCGAGCACCCAGCCCAGUGCCGGCUCCAGCCCCAGAGCCAGAGCCAGCUCCAACACCAGCUCCAGGUUCAGAGCUAGAAGUAGCUCCAGCACCAACUCCGGAGCUCCAGCAGGCUCCAGAGCCAGCUGUGGGACUAGAAUCGGCUCCAGCGCCAGCUCCGGAACUAGAGCCAGCUCCAGAACAGGAUCCAGCUCCCUCACAAACUCUAGAGCUGGAGCCAGCUCCAGCGCCAGUUCCAUCAUUACAGCCUUCCUGGCCUUCACCUGUGGUUGCAGAGAACGGGCUGAGUGAGGAGAAGCCUCACCUCUUGGUGUUCCCUCCUGAUCUGGUGGCAGAGCAGUUUACACUGAUGGAUGCGGAACUGUUCAAGAAGGUGGUGCCCUACCACUGCCUGGGCUCCAUCUGGUCCCAGCGGGACAAGAAGGGCAAGGAGCACCUGGCGCCCACCAUCCGCGCCACUGUCACCCAGUUCAACAGUGUGGCCAACUGUGUCAUCACCACCUGCCUCGGAAACCGAAGCACGAAAGCCCCAGACAGGGCCAGGGUGGUGGAGCACUGGAUCGAGGUGGCCAGGGAGUGCCGGAUCCUCAAGAACUUCUCGUCACUGUAUGCCAUCCUCUCUGCCCUGCAGAGCAACUCCAUCCACCGUCUGAAGAAGACGUGGGAAGACGUUUCCAGGGACAGUUUCCGGAUCUUUCAGAAGCUGUCAGAGAUCUUCUCAGAUGAGAACAACUACUCAUUGAGCCGGGAGCUGCUCAUCAAGGAGGGCACCUCCAAGUUUGCCACCCUGGAGAUGAACCCCAAGAGAGCCCAGAAACGGCCGAAGGAGACGGGCAUCAUCCAGGGCACCGUUCCCUACCUGGGCACGUUCCUCACCGACCUGGUGAUGCUGGACACUGCCAUGAAGGACUAUCUGUAUGGCAGACUCAUCAACUUCGAGAAGAGGAGGAAGGAGUUCGAGGUGAUCGCCCAGAUCAAGCUGCUGCAGUCGGCCUGCAACAACUACAGCAUCACGCCAGAUGAGCAAUUUGGGGCCUGGUUCCGGGCCGUGGAGCGGCUCAGCGAGACUGAGAGCUACAACCUGUCGUGCGAGCUGGAGCCCCCAUCCGAGUCAGCCAGCAACACCCUCAGGACCAAGAAGAACACAGCCAUUGUCAAGCGCUGGAGCGACCGCCAGGCCCCCAGCACUGAGCUCAGUACCAGUGGCAGCUCCCACUCCAAGUCCUGUGACCAGCUCAGGUGUGGCCCCUACCUCAGCAGCGGGGACAUCGCUGACGCGCUCAGCGUGCACUCGGCCGGCUCCUCUAGCUCCGACGUGGAGGAGAUCAACAUCAGCUUCGUCCCGGAGUCUCCUGACGGCCAGGAAAAGAAGUUCUGGGAAUCGGCCUCACAGUCGUCCCCGGAGACCUCCGGCAUCAGCUCUGCCUCCAGCAGCACCUCGUCCUCCUCAGCCUCCACCACGCCCGUGGCUGCCACACGCACCCACAAGCGCUCCGUCUCAGGGCUCUGCAACUCCAGCUCCGCGCUGCCGCUCUACAACCAGCAGGUGGGCGACUGCUGUAUCAUCCGCGUCAGCCUGGACGUGGACAACGGCAACAUGUACAAGAGCAUCCUGGUAAGCCGGCGGGGGUGGCCUGGGUCCCUCCCUCCACUGGCGGCAAAUGCACCCUGGACACAGUGCACCAUCCCUGCCCUCCCGGGGUCUACCUUGUAGUUGGCGGGGAAGGACAGAUGUCAGCCAGGUACAGAAAUGAAGAAGGUAGUGAUCAGGGACAAGGCUGGCCUGAGGGCACAGGGGGAGGAAAGGAGCAGCCGUGCAAAGCCCCCAGGAGCUGAAGGGGCAGUGCUGUAGGGGAGAUGAGGUCAGGGAAGUAUCCAGGGCCUGGCCACAUAGGCCCUGAGCCCUGCCAGGACCUCGACUUUCUCGGGGAGGAAGACAGGAGCAAUGAUGGCUGGCUUCUCUGUCUGGCGUGGGCUGGUACCAGAGCCGCAGGGGUGUUGGUUAGGAGGCCGCUGUGGCAACCAGGCUGGGAGCCCUGGAAGGGGCCAGCAGGGUCAGAGUCUAGACAGGAUUUGGAGACAGCAGAUGGGAAUUGCUCACAGAAUGGGUUUGCCUGGGGGCUCUUUCUUCAUCCUCCAGGUGUCCUGCGACAGAUGAACCAUUUGUAACCCCCACCCUCUGUACCCCAGCCCUGGGUCAGGUGCCCCAUUAUUCACACACGCUCCUGACCCCUCAUUGCCAGGAGCUAGCAUGGUUGUCAUUAAGCAGUCACCUGUGGCCCUAUGUCUGAGUUCCGCCUGUGCUCUGGCCCUCAGGGUCAAGGUAGUAGGGGCCUGGCCUAUGCUGACCACACUGAGCAUCCUGGCCGGCCCCUCCUUUCUCACCUCCAGGGCCUGGACUAGGGACUAUCUGUUCCCCAGGCUCAGUGAUGCUGUUAUCCUGGAGGGGCAAGUGCUUCUCAAGGAAAUGUGGGAGGAGGGAACAGGCUCUUAUAGGAGAAGCAGGGUAGGCACUGCUGGGACAGACCCCUCCUCAUUCCAUGGAGGCCUCACAUGGGGAACAGGAGAAGGACGGAGGCCUCACUUGGGGAGUAGGAGAAUGUGACAAGGCCCUCUCCAGACCCAGCACCUGGCCAGAGGCUGUGAGUGCCUGUGCUCGGUGCUGAGGGGACUCCAGAGGGUCCUUGGCCACUGCACUCUGGGGGAGCUGCUCCAGGGUCUUUUCCCUGAUGGUCCAUCCCCUGCCGCGAUGCAGGUGACCAGCCAAGAUAAGGCUCCGGCUGUAAUCCGCAAGGCCAUGGACAAACACAACCUGGAGGAGGAGGAGCCGGAGGACUAUGAGCUGCUGCAGAUUCUCUCAGAUGACCGGAGUAAGUCAGAAGACCAGAGGGCGAUGGCAGAGGGGGCAGGUCCACACCACUCCCCAGCCCCAGGUUGGAAGCCUUUGGCCCCAGAAAAUUCACCAGCAGAGUGUGGGUAGACACUGUGGACAGGGCAGCCCUGGCUGCCCCCAUUGUCUGCUUGCUGUCCCCAGCAACCACUGGACCUCCCCAGUGUGUGCCCUUCCCUAGGCGUGAACAGGCAGUUCAAAGCUCACAUCAGUGAGGAGCAAAGAGAAAAGGCAUUUUCACUGGGACAGGUUAGCCACGUGGCCCACUGGAAGGGAUGCUUUCUGGCUAAGACAAGAAAACAUGUGCUCUACAAAGAAUGGUGACAGCUGUGGACCAAAGUGUCAAGUGUUAAAAUCCAUGAGUGUGUGAUUCUAAAAGCAGAACAGGCUACUAGGAGGCCCACUCAGUAUUCUAGAAACUGGGAAAGUGUCAAGAACCAGUGCAGGCUCAGAGUGGGGUAUCCUGGGCCUGGAGACGCUGGGCAAGCUCCUUAAGCCCUCUGUGCUUGUCUUCUCAUCCCCCAAAUGGAAAUGAAAGUAGCCAGUGUGUUCAUCAUAUAUAUAAAAAUCUAUAUGUAUGUAUAUAUGUGUAUAUAUAUGCAUGUAUAUGUGUGUGUAUAUAUAUGCAUGUAUAUAUAAAGCAUCUGUGUGCACCAUAAAAGUUAACUAUAAAUACUAUCAUCGCUGUUUUCUUUCCAGUGAGCUCCCACCAUUAGCCCAGACAGUAAGCAAUGACUCCUGUGAUCCCUAGAAGUUACAGUCUAAAUCCUCUGGCAGCUUCUUGCACCAUUUCGGUUAGGUGGGCAGGGUAGGCGGGACCCCCAUCUUACAGAAAAGGAAGACUGAGGCCUAGAGAGGUUAAAGAUGACGAAAAGCCACACGAUGUCGGCAGGAGCACAAAUCGAGCCCAGCUCUGGUUUAUAGCAGGCUGUGGGCCAGAGGAGAUGGUGGGAAAUGGAGCCAAAAGGAAGUGCUUGCCGGGUGCCAGGGUUCAAGGAGUGCAGGCCUCCCUGGAACGGGCGCCAGAGCCCUGGGGCAGGCCUGUCCUUUCCUGGUCCUUGGAUCCCUUGUCCUGAGUAGGGCAGGAUUCUGGGAGGUGACCUGGAUUCUAGAAAGCCUGUUCCAGGUGGGCAGCCAGCACUGCAGUAUGGGCAGGACGGGGUGACCCUCUGCCAGCUCAGGCCAAGCCGGGGGGUUCUGGAGUCAGUCCCUGUUUAAACAAGAGUCAUCAGGUUUUGUGAGGACCUCAGCAGAGUCUGUCCUCAGGCAGGAGUCAUUGAGAGGGGUCCUUGGAGUCCUGGAGCUGUAUUGGAGGGGAUCUGAGGUCUGUGGCUCAAGACAGUCCUUGUAUGGGCUCUCAAGCGGUAGGGGUAUCCUGCAGGGCCCCCAGGAGCAUCACUGAUCACCCCUCUGCCCCUCCCCACCAGAGCUGAAGAUCCCUGAAAACGCCAACGUCUUCUAUGCCAUGAACUCUACCGCCAACUAUGACUUUGUCCUGAAGAAGCGGACCUUCACCAAGGGAGUGAAGGUCAAGCACGGAGCCAGCUCCACCCUCCCUCGCAUGAAGCAGAAAGGACUCAAGAUUGCCAAGGGCAUCUUCUGAGGGCAUCCUCCCAGGGUCUGGCUGGCUGGUAGCCAAGCACUUAUGGACCAGAGUGGCCCAGGCCAGCUGGGCGCCUUCCUCCCACCUGCCAGCCCAGGGUACCCCAGACUCCAGUUUCAUCCUGAACCUCUCCCGCUGCUGGGAUUGAUGCCUGCCAUUGGUCAGGCUGACCUGGCCUCCCGUGGACCACUCGCUGCCUUAGGUGCCUUCUGCUCUCUGGAACCAGAGGACUAGCUGACUUUUGCCAAGGAGCAGUGCCAACGGGCAUGGCAUGGUGCCCUGCCUGCCCCCGGGCGCCACCUCUGUACACUUCCCUGACACCUUCCCAGGUGUGGGUCACUGCCACCUGUGCCCAUGGGCACCCCAGAGCACCCACUGUGACCACUGCAGUUCUCUCAUGCCCACAGGCACUGGCCUGUGACCUUCGCAGGGGUCCCGGCCCCUCCCACCACUCUAGCCUUUCUCAGGCUGCACCAAAGAUUCCAUCAUCAGGGCCAACUGAGAGUGAGGGAGUCUCACCCACCGCUUACCCCAGCCCUCCCCUGGGAGCAGAGAGAGAAACCCUCUUCAUGGACCGACUCUGCACCCGGUGAGUGAGGACAGUCCCAGCUGAGUCCCAUCGAUGUUGAAUCUCAUGCCACUGCAAGUGCCAUUCACCACUGCGUCCUGGGCUUUACGAGACCAUGCAAGACGGGGGUUAGUGAGGAAGGAGGAUUUGGGGUGGGGGUGGGGUGAUUGAAUAUUUGUAUAAAAAGCAAAAAGAAAAAAAAAAUGUUUACUGAUUGGGGAGGGGCAAUAUUUAUUUGUUGUAAAUAGCAAAUGCUAGACUUGAAUAUUAUAUUAAAAUCCUGUUUCUACUAUA